ACAAAUUAAAGCCCAAUUUCUCAAACCUAAAUCCCUCCAGCCACAUACCCUUCCCCACUUUCUUAUACCGUUCUUCAACAAUUGGUUUCUCUUUCACUUGAUAAAAGCAAAUCAAUUGAAGCCCUAGAUCGCCAACUGGCCACUAGUUCGUGAGAAUUUAUGGGUUUAAGUCCCGAAAAGUGAACAAUGAAAAAGAUAAAAAAGAAGCAAGAUAGAAUCCAUUGCUUUAUAUUCAAAUGAGUGAGAUUUUGAAGAUUUUAAAGGUGUAAUAAUGCUGGUAGGAGUCAUAGUUCGUCGAUUGCAACAACAAAGCUACUAUACAAUAUUGGGGAGAAGAUCUUUUUAAGAAAUUUAAAAAGUCUACAGAUUUGUGGAAUGAAAGCAUAUAAGUGACAAACUAAGACAAGAUGUUGAUCAAGCUAAGGUGCAGUUGAAGACCGUGGCAGGAGAGAAACAGGGAGAAUAUGCAGCUUUGGACUCAAACAAG